rnacentral:lncRNA from 10 species
CUGGGGGAGCAGCCGUUGGCUCUGGUGCCCCUGGGGGUGGGAGCACGAGUGGGCAAGGAUGAUGGUGAGGCAGAGGAGGCGGCCCCGAGGGAGCGCCCGGCUGAGAGGCGGGGGGCCGAGGGGCCCGGGGAGCGGGCGUCACCGAGGGCCCUGGAAGCGGCAGGGCUGGGGGAGAGGAGACGCGUGUGUGGAGCAUGGGGACCCCAGCCCAGCUCCCACUUGCAGACCUGGGCCGCGGGCUGCCGGCCGAGUGGCCGGGGGGCCUGGCUGCCCAGGAGGCGGGCCGGGGCCGCGGCCGGGGGCGCGGAGCGGAGUUAGGGUCGCCAGGCCGAGCCGAGGUGGGACGGACCGACGCAGAGAGGAAGGGAAGCCACCUGGCCUGAAGAUCCUGUCUCUAAGAUCCCAUUCUGAGGCUUCGAGGGUCUGGCUUGAGCAGCACAGACAGGGACGUGUCUAACCGGGAUGACCAUGAGGUCUCAUCGCAGUUUGCCACUAACCAGGGCAGCCGUUAGACAGCACAACCGAACCCAACACCGGGGCCCAACGGCAGGGGCUUGGGCAGGAGCAAGGUCCGAGGGCUGCCAGUUAGGUCCACGCUGCUUUUAUGAGCUGUAACACUCACCGCGAAGAUCUGCAGCUUCACUCCUGAGCCCAGCGAGACCACGAGCCCACCGGGAGGAACAAACAACUCCAGACGCGCUGCCUUAAGAGCUGUAACACUUGCCGUGAAGGUCUGCAGCUUCACUCCUGAGCCAGCGAGACCACGAACCCACCAGAAGGAAGAAACUCCGAACACAUCUCAACAUCAGAACGGACAGACUCCAGACGCACCACCUUAAGAGCUGUAACACUCACCGCGAGGUUCCGCGGCUUCAUUCUUGAACAGCAAUGAAUCCUCCAAUGUACCUGACUCUCCCUUUGCGAAGAGCAUCUCCGUGGCAGAAAUCUGAAAAUGCCCCUGGGGAGACACAUGCACAAGACAGUGAGUGAUGCAGCCGUUUCCCACGUAUCUCACAAUGUACUUCUCUGGUCUUAUUAGAACUAAAUGAGUAUCUCAGUCCAUAAUCACAGGGAGAAGAACCACCACAGACCACAUACCUGGGGUCUUGAAAAUAAUUCCAUGCAUGUGGGACUUUCAGAAGCUCUCCAUGUCUGUCCAGAAGGGCCCCACAAUAUACUGGGGGGACUUUGUAUGUGGCUCAGCAUGGAGCAGGGGCAGGAUGUUCAAUUUUGCUAUUAUAUCGACUUCUUAAAAUAGUCUAGUGGGAUUAACUUGGUUUCAAUUCACAGAGAUCUGGAAGCGAGGAUCUUUUAAAAAUCCUGAAAUAUACACUGCAAUAAAAGAACAAAGCAUACACCUCAGCCUUAAAUGACUGAAGAAGUAUGUCAAGUAGCAGCAGGUGGGAAAGUGGCUUUGGUUUUCAGUUUGUGAGCUCUGAAUCCACACAGAAACAGGACUGCAUUCUGACAACCUGAAUUAAUUAUUGUCCUUACCACAAUGAGGCAGAAAAGUAUAAUAAAAAUCAUUAGUAUUUCAGUCACAAUUAAUGCCAAGAUGAGUUUGUCAGUAUAGCCAUAUCCUGGAACUUAUUUUGUGAGCUAAAAAAAACAAAAAAACAAAACAAAAAAAAACACACCAGAAUGAGAGCUAACUAUUCAAAACCCCAGUAUUCCAGGUGAGUAGCUUACAGGUUCUUUUUUAUUUUUUUGAAAGAGGGUCUCACUCUGUUACCCAGGCUGGGGUACAGUGGUGCAAUCACCGUUCACUAGACUCGACCUCCCUGGGCUCAGGUGACCCUCCCACCUCAGCCUCCCAAGUAGCUGGGACUACAGGCACGUGUCAUCAACCCAGCUAAUUUUUUUAUUUUUUGUGGAGACAGGCUUUCACUAUGUUGGCCAAGCUGGUCUCAAACUCCUGACUUCAAGUAAUCCACCCACCUUGGCCUCCCAAAGUGCUGAGAUUACAGGCAUGAGCUACCACCCCUGGCCUACAGUUCAUCUUGUGCCCUAAUCUAUAUUUCACUCUCUACAUGAGCAAAGUGGGAGAUCACUGUCAUGACCAAAGUUACAUGGCCAAGAUAAGCUAUGGCCUGGGAGUCCCAGAUUCUUCUGUGUGGGCACUUUCCUGGGAUAUGCUAAAUGAUGGGAAAUCUGGGUCUCAUGUUUCUGUGUGGUCCUCACCUCAAGCGACUUCUCUUUCUGUUCACUCUGGGCUUCCGUGCUCUCAUUAAUGUAGUUCUGAGUCUUCCAUUGGUCCGUAUCCCAUUCUAUCUCAGAUGCCUUUACUUCCUGCUGCCCACUGAGAAGCUUCAUCAGGUGGCCUGUCCUGGAGAUGAGCUUGGCACAGGUCACUUGCACAUGGGCCCCAGAGCAGUCCAUCUUCAAGGUCCGGAUAACAUGAGAAAUGAGCCUUCUCACAUUGUUGGGGAUAAGGGACUGUAGCUGCUGGGUUAGCUGAAUUUCAAACUGAGCAAUGGGUAAUUGAAGCUUUUGGGCUCGGGGGACAGGUCAGUGCCCACGUUGUUGUAUUCCCAUUUUGUCUCAGUUUGUUUAACAGUUGGCCCUAAGUUGAAUGCAGUCCCAGCGGAAUCUGCCUCAGGAGGAUGAUUGUAGUUUGUGUUUUCAGAGAUGGUGA